GCGUGAAACAGUAUGCAGAAUACUGAAGCCGAAGUGAAACCUGAGGCAAAGCCUCCGAUGGGACAUGGAAGAGUAGGAGUCAGAGAAAAAGAGAAGGCAAGAAGGAGAGGGUCAGAGAGACAGAAAGGAGGGCAGCACUGGGAGAAGACAUGAAAAAUUAGAACAGGAGCUCAGAGCACUCGGGAGAGCGGGGGAAAUGACAGUUGAAAUUAGAACAGGAGCUAAGAGGAGCAAGCAGAAGGGGACGGCAGGAACCAAGAAAUUUAAGGAGGGGAGAACCAAUUGACAGAAGUGGCCAGAAAAAAGCCAGCUGAGCCUCACUCAGAGGGCCGGGGACUCAUGUGUGGCCGGUAGGCAGAAGUGCCCUGUAUGGAUCAAAACAAAUUAUUUGUCAUCCUGAAAUGACUCUGAAAGGGGGAAUGGAAUGUGCCCCAAAAUCAAUAUUAAAUUUUAUGCCUGCUGCACCUUUCAAAAGCCUCAAGAAGACAUUGAUUCAAGCAGCAGCAAUCAUGGUGUCUUGGGACACAGUUACACGACAUCCCAUGACACCUAGACCUGAUCUCACGAUACCCCCACCACGGUCCAGUUAUUCAGCAUCAUCAAAUAGGUAAGUAAGUACAGCUCACAGAAAGAAUCAUGACCUUGCUUAGUGCUUUUGGUGUAACUCAUUUCCC
rnacentral:lncRNA from 12 species